rnacentral:rRNA from 1 species
AUUGAACGCUGGCGGCAUGCUUUACACAUGCGAGUCGAACGGCAGCUCGGUCUUCGGCCUGGCUGCGAGUGGCGGACGGGGGAGUAAUACAUCAAAACGUGCCCAGUAGGGGGGGAUAGCUCGGCGAAAGCCGGAUUAAUACCGCAAACGACGUGCUGGUGAAAGCGGGGGAUCUUCAGAGCACGGGCACUUGGAAAGACCGAUGGCAGAUUAGCUAGUUGGUGGGGUAAAGGCCUACCAAGGCGACGAUCUGUAGCUGGACUGAGAGGACGACCGGCCGCACUGGGACUGAGACACGGCCCAGACUCCUACGGGAGGCAGCAGUGGGGAAUUUUGGACAAUGGGCGAAAGCCUGAUCCAGCAAUGCCGCGUGUGUGAUGAAGGCCUUCGGGUUGUAAAGCACUUUUGGCGGGAAAGAAAAGGACUGUGCCAAUACCACGGUUCGAUGACGGUACCCGAAGAAUAAGCACCGGCUAACUACGUG